GCUGGCGGCAGGCCUAACACAUGCAAGUCGAGCGCCCCUCCUUCAAGCGAGCUUGGAGGAUUGCGCGGCGGUGUCUUCGAACGGGCGUAAGCUCGUUUCGAGGGAAACCGUUUCGAAAUCAAGCGGACCGAAGGGCCCGCUUGAUGGAGGGGAGCGGCAGACGGGAGAGUAACACGUGGGAACGUACCCUUUGGUUCGGAACAACCCAGGGAAACUUGGGCUAAUACCGGAUAAGCCCUUACGGGGAAAGAUUCAUCGCCGAAGGAUCGGCCCGCGUCUGAUUAGCUAGUUGGUGGGGUAAUGGCCCACCAAGGCGACGAUCAGUAGCUGGUCUGAGAGGAUGAUCAGCCUCACUGGGACUGAGACACGGCCCAGACUCCUACGGGAGGCAGCAGUGGGGAAUAUUGGACAAUGGGCGCAAGCCUGAUCCAGCCAUGCCGCGUGGGUGAUGAAGGCCCUAGGGUUGUAAAGCCCUUUCGGCGGGGAAGAUAAUGACGGU
rnacentral:rRNA from 1 species